rnacentral:lncRNA from 1 species
CCCAAGGGACAUUGCCCCAUUGUAAAUUUAUAAAUGUGAGAACAAGAAUAACAUCAAACUGUACAUACAACAUGUGUUUAUAAUGGACAGAUGUAAGGAGCUGAAAUUGUAGUACCUUACUUUUCUCCAUAGUGUAGUAGACACUGAGGACCUGCCUCUGAAAAUCUACUGAGAAGUGCUCCAGCAUAGAAAGAUCCCUAGGGUCAUCCACAAAAUACACUGAAAACUGCAUUGUGCUCUUUUCUGAGUUGGCUGAAGACAAAGAAAACUAUGAGAAAUACUUCGAGGCAUUUUUCCUCGAACAUAAAGCUUAGAAUCCAUGAAGAAUACAAUAAUUGUUGCUACCUCUCUGGGCUCCUUUGCUAUCACUCUCUUUAGUCUGGAGAUGAGAGGCUUUUCUGCUAAAGGAUUUGUCUCACAUGAAGGAGACACAGACAUCUAUGUACUAUAUCACAGGUGAGAUCAAAGAGCUGAUGGCCAACUUUGCCUUUGUGAAGUAUGUGAGCACCUAGGGCUAGGAGGUGUUAUAUAGGACAGAACCUAUUGACAAGUACUACAUACAGCAGUUCAAGGGAUUUGAUAGAAACAACCUGGUCUCAGUGACUAAGGAGGGUCUGGAGCUACCAAAGGAUGAGUAAGAGAAGAAAAAAAUUGGGGAGAGCAAGGCAAAUUUAGAGAAUAUUUGCAACCUCAUGAAGGAGAUCUUGGAUAAGAAGGUUUCAAAAGUGACAAUCUUCAGUAGCCUUGUAUCUUCACCCUGCUACAUUGUAAGAAGCACCUAUGGCUAAACAGUAUAUAUAUAGUGGAUCAGUAAGGCCCAAACAUUGCAGGGCAACUCUUUAAUGGGUUACAUGAUGGCCAAAGAUCAUUUAGAGAUCAGUCCUCACUACUCCAUUCUGGAGAACCUGCUGCAGAAGGCUGAAGCAGACAAAAAUAGUAAAGCUGUCAAGAACCUGGUGGUGCUGCUGUUUGAAACUGCUCUGGUUUCUCACUUGAGGAUCUCCAAACUGAUUCCAACUGCCUCUACCACAUGAUUUCACUAGGCCUGGAUAUAUUUACAAGUGAGAUAACAGCAGAGAAGCCCAGUACUGCUGUCCCUGAUGAGAUUGUCUUGAGGGUGAUGUGGAUGCCUGUCACAUGGAAGAAGUAGAUUAA